rnacentral:rRNA from 1 species
AGCCAAGUAGCGUGAAGGAUGACUGCCCUAUGGGUUGUAAACUUCUUUUAUAAAGGAAUAAAGUGGUCCACGUGUGGAUUUUUGUAUGUACUUUAUGAAUAAGGAUCGGCUAACUCCGUGCCAGCGAGCCGCGGUAAU